GGGCCCGCACAAGCGGUGGAGCAUGUGGUUUAAUUCGAUGAUACGCGAGGAACCUUACCAGGGCUUAAAUGUAAGUUGCAUAAACUAGAGAUAGUUUUUUCUUCGGACUACUUACAAGGUGCUGCAUGGUUGUCGUCAGCUCGUGCCGUGAGGUGUCAGGUUAAGUCCUAUAAUGAGCGCAACCCCUAUCGUUAGUUGCCAACAGGUUAAGCUGGGAACUCUAACGAGACUGCCGGUGCAAACCGCGAGGAAGGUGGGGAUGACGUCAAAUCAUCACGGCCCUUACGUCCUGGCUACACACGUGCUACAAUGGCCGGUACAGAGAGCAGCCACUCCGCGAGGAGGAG
rnacentral:rRNA from 1 species